rnacentral:rRNA from 1 species
UACGAAGGGUGCAAACGUUGCUCGGAAUUAUUGGGCGUAAAGCGCGCGUAGGCGGCUUGGCAAGUCAGACGUGAAAUCCCUCGGCUUAACCGGGGAACUGCGUCUGAUACUGGAUGGCUUGAAUCCGGGAGAGGGAUGCGGAAUUCCAGGUGUAGCGGUGAAAUGCGUAGAUAUCUGGAGGAACACCGGUGGCGAAGGCGGCAUCCUGGACCGGUAUUGACGCUGAGGAGCGAAAGCGUGGGGAGCAAACAGG